UGCUGCAUUACAUUGUUGAUUCUCAUUCAAUUUUUCAUCCUCUAUAACCCCAGGUCCUUUUCAACAGUACUAUAGCCUACCCAUUUUGCGGUUGUGAUUUGAUUUUUUUUUCCUUCCUAUGUGAAGUACUUGUUUUUACUGAAACCAAUUCUCCAACCUGUUUUGAAUUCUAAUCCUGUCCUCCCAAGUGCUUGCAACCCCUCCUACCUUGGUGUUAGUUGCAAAUUAUGUGAAAAUAAGCUUCUAGCCAGUGUGGCAGUGGAGAAAAGCUUGAAAAUGUGACCUAGGCCCAGAAGCCAAAACCCAGCAUUUAUUACUCUUUAAAAACUUGUGCUUUUAAAACCAGUCUCAUGAUUUUUGGGAAUGACUCCAAAUUUUUUAAUGCUAAGGAUGGUCAAUAUUAUAUAUAUAUUCAUCAUACCUUGUCUUAUAGUUGGAGGAUUAUACAGUUUUGCUCUGGGUGGUAUCUGAACUUCUCAACGAAACCUCGUAAUCCGAGAUAUUCAUCUCCAAAAAAAACUAGACUGAGGCUGAUUGUAGGUUUCCCCCACAGUCACCAUUUACUCAGAGUUGGAAUAUAAAUCAUUCCAGAGUAUCUGUGACCUUUUUUCAGGAUGUGGAUUGUGUCUAUAUGGCCAAGAUGGAACUGGAAGCAAAGGUGGAAAGACUGAAGUAGAAGACAGAAUUCCUGAGGUGUGUGUACGCUGAGUUCCAGGAGCUUCAGAAGGCCAAGGGUAUAUACUGUAAUGAUCUAAAAUGCAACCGGCAUGAGAUUGCAAAGCUGAGAUGACUGAUCCAGAGAUUGCAAAGCGACUCUGAAAAUGUGAAGAAACAGGUACGACAGACCAUUCGGCGCCCCACCGUCCCACCUCCAGUGUCUGGAUUUCUUUUGU